UACGUAGAGGGCAAGCGUUGUCCGGAUUCAUUGGGCGUAAAGAGCUCGUAGGCGGCUUGGCAAGUCGGGUGUGAAAACUCCAGGCUCAACCUGGAGACGCCACCCGAUACUGCCAUGGCUUGAGUCCGGUAGGGGACCACGGAAUUCCUGGUGUAGCGGUGAAAUGCGCAGAUAUCAGGAGGAACACCGGUGGCGAAGGCGGUGGUCUGGGCCGGUACUGACGCUGAGGAGCGAAAGCGUGGGGAGCGAACAGG
rnacentral:rRNA from 1 species